AGGGGGGUUGAGAAUAAGGAUAAUGGGAACAAACAGACAUGUUUAAUAUGCAGAUGAAGACUAGAGAUAUGACUUAAUAAUGAACUGGUCUGUUCUACUACUAUUGAUCUGGUCUGUUCUACUAGUAUUGAUCUGGUCUGUUCUACUAGUAUUGAUCUGGUCUGUUCCACUAUCAUUGAUCUGGUCUGUUCUACUAGUAUUGAUCUGGUACUGGUCUGUUCUACUACUAUUGAUCUGGUCUGUUCUACUAUCAUUGAUCUGGUCUGUUCCACUAUCAUUGAUCUGGUCUGUUCCACUAUCAUUGAUCUGGUCUGUUCCACUAUCAUUGAUCUGGUCUGUUCUACUAGUAUUGAUCUGGUACUGGUCUGUUCUACUAUCAUUGAUCUGGUCUGUUCUACUAGUAUUGAUCUGGUCUGUUCUACUAGUAUUGAUCUGGUCUGUUCUACUAGUAUUGAUCUGGUCUGUUCUACUAGUAUUGAUCUGGUCUGUUCUACUAGUAUUGAUCUGGUCUGUUCUACUAGUAUUGAUCUGGCCUGUUCUACUAGUAUUGAUCUGGUCUGUUCUACUAGUAUUGAUCUGGUCUAUUCUACUAGUAUUGAUCUGGUCUAUUCUACUAGUAUUGAUCUGGUCUGUUCUACUAGUAUUGAUCUGGUCUGUUCUACUAGUAUUGAUCUGGUCUGUUCUACUAGUAUUGAUCUGGUCUGUUCUACUAGUAUUGAUCUGGUCUGUUCUACUAGUAUUGAUCUGGUCUACUAGUAUUGAUCUGGUCUGUUCUACUAGUAUUGAUCUGGUCUGUUCUACUAGUAUUGAUCUGGUCUGUUCUACUAGUAUUGAUCUAGUCUGCUCUACUACCAUUGAUCUGGUCUGUUCUACUACCAUUGAUCUGGUAUUUUCUACUAUCAUUGAUCUGGUCUGUUCCACUUUCAUUGAUCUGGUCUGUUCUACUAGUAUUGAUCUGGUACUGGUCUGUUCUACUAGUAUUGAGCUGGUCUGUUCUACUAGUAUUGAGCUGGUCUGUUCUACUAGUAUUGAGCUGGUCUGUUCUACUAGUAUUGAGCUGGUCUGUUCUACUAGUAUUGAGCUGGUCUGUUCUACUAGUAUUGAGCUGGUCUGUUCUACUAGUAUUGAGCUGGUCUGUUCUACUAGUAUUGAUCUGGUCUAUUCUACUAGUAUUGAUCUGGUACUGGUCUGUUCUACUAGUAUUGAUCUGGUCUGUUCUACUAGUAUUGAGCUGGUCUGUUCUACUAGUAUUGAGCUGGUCUGUUCUACUAGUAUUGAUCUGGUACUGGUCUGUUCUACUAGUAUUGAUCUGGUCUGUUCUACUAUCAUUGAUCUGGUCUGUUCUACUAGUAUUGAUCUGGUACUGGUAUGUUCUACUAGUAUUGAUCUGGUCUACUAGUAUUGAUCUGGUCUAUUCUACUAGUAUUGAUCUGGUACUGGUAUGUUCUACUAGUAUUGAUCUGGUCUACUAGUAUUGAUCUGGUCUGUUCUACUAGUAUUGAUCUGGUACUGGUCUGUUCUACUAGUAUUGAUCUGGUCUGUUCUACUAGUAUUGAUCUGGUCUGUUCUACUAUCAUUGAUCUGUUCUACUAGUAUUGAUCUGGUACUGGUAUGUUCUACUAGUAUUGAUCUGGUCUGUUCUACUAGUAUUGAUCUGGUACCUGGCAAACUAAAUCUAUCCCUAAAUCUAUCCCAGUUUCUAUUACAGAGGCACCUGACAACCUAAAUCUGUCCCAGUUCCUAUUACACAGAGACACCUGCCAACCUAAAUCUGUCCCAGUUCCUAUUACACAGAGGAACCUGGCAACCCAAAUCUGUCCCAGUUCCUAUUACAAAGAGGAACCUGGCAACCUUAAAUUUGUCCCAGUUCCUAAUACACAAACCUGGCAA
rnacentral:lncRNA from 1 species